UACGGAGGGGGCUAGCGUUGUUCGGAAUUACUGGGCGUGAAGCGCACGUAGGCGGCUUGGUAAGUUAGAGGUGAAAGCCUGGAGCUCAACUCCAGAAUUGCCUUUAAGACUGCCGAGCUAGCAGGUGAGAGAGGUGAGUGGAAUUCCGAGUGUAGAGGUGAAAUUCGUAGAUAUUCGGAAGAACACCAGUGGCGAAGGCGACUGACUGGACAAGUAUUGACGCUGAGGUGCGAAAGCGUGGGGAGCAAACAGG
rnacentral:rRNA from 1 species